rnacentral:tRNA from 15 species
GAGCCGCUAGCUCAGUUGGUAGAGCACCUGACUUUUAAUCAGGUGGUCGUUGGUUCGAUCCCAACGCGGCUCACCACCC